rnacentral:lncRNA from 1 species
CUUCAGCCAUGUUGAACAGUUGGAAUUUUGUUCUAAGGAUGAUGGAAGCCAUUGGAAGGUUUUCUUUGCCAAAGUGAUGUGAUCUGAUAGAAGGUUUUAUGAAGCCCACGUUGUCUACUGUGCAGAGAAUGGAGUAACAGGCCAAGAGGAACCGUAGGGAGACCAGUUAAGAGGCAGAGACAGUGAAGAGGCAAAUAUAAUUUCUGACCUACGUAAUGAUGUAUGCACAAGAAGCCUCUCUUGAAUGUAUUAAUUCAGUAAACAGUUAUGGAGUCCUUACAAUGUGCUAGUGGGACUUUGAAGAUGAAUCCAAAUUUGGAUCCUGGCCUGGAAAGGCUCAAAGCCCAAUAUGGGAGCCUGGAUACAAAUGUGAAACUUAUCUUCUUUUAUUAACCAAUCAAUCACCUCCUGCCAAAACAACAUCAGCAAAAACAACAGAAAAAAACAAAAACAAAAACAAAAACAAAUCUGUGUACACAAGACCUUUGUUUCCACAGCAGACUUGGCUAAAGGUUUGGGCAUGCAUAUGCAUACCCCCAAAAUUAAAAAUGGAAAAUUGAA